rnacentral:rRNA from 1 species
CAGCCGCCGCGGGAAUACGUAGGGUGCUAGCGUUGUUCGGAAUUACUGGGCGUAAAGCGCACGCAGGCGGCUCGAUAAAUUAGAAGUGAAAGCCUUGGGCUUAACCUGAGAAUUGCUUUUAAGACUGUCGAGCUAGAAUCCAGAAGAGGGUAGUGGAAUUCCGAGUGUAGAGGUGAAAUUCGUAGAUAUUCGGAAGAACACCAGUGGCGAAGGCGACUACCUGGUCUGGCAUUGACGCUCAUGUGCGAAAGCGUGGGGAGCAAACAGGAUUAGAUACCCGUGUAGUCCCUGUCUCUUAUAC